AAGUCGUAACAAGGUUUCCGUAGGUGAACCUGCGGAAGGAUCAUUAAAAAAUCAUUUGAGCCGCAAGGCUCUAUUAUCUUGUGAAAUGUACAUGGGAGAAUUCUGCACAGGGAGGGGAGGAUAUGUCACCAUAUCAUCCAUUCCUCUAUGUGCAAGCUUUUCCCAGUUAUUAUUAAACAUAUGUUUAUUGAUGUUGAGGAAAUGUAUAUUUAAAUAAUACUUAUACAACUUUCAACAGUGGAUCUCUCGGCUCUU
rnacentral:misc_RNA from 1 species